AGGCCGUCUGGCCUGUCUAAUAACUGCAGUAUGAUCAUGAGAGGGAAAUACACCCCUUAGCAGCCAGUCAAGGUCUCUACGUAUGGGGUUACAGAUGGCCAAUGAUCUCUCCAACUAUUCUCUGAACUUGGUCCACAUACAGAAAGAGAGGAAUUGUGCCUCAGAAGCUGUAUGUAAUGGAUGACACCCAGGAGCCUCAUCUGCACCUGGACCUAAUAUGGUGAUAAAAUUUUAGGCUUGGAGCUGAUACUGUAAUGAGGUCAUGUUUCCUGAGGCUGUUUUUCCUGAAUAAUCUACAAACUCAAGCAAAGUAAUAAUUAUAUUCAAACAAAUAAACUUUUCUCUAACAUGGAGUCAGUACUGUGAAAAAGUAUCCAUUUUUAACUGUUGCACCUUGGGUUCUUAUUUCAAAAAGUUCCAUGAAGAAGAUCAGCCCCAGCAAAACAAACAAACAAACAAACAAAAACAGUUGGAUCCAGAGAUGCCUGAGUUAGAGAUGACUUUGGCAACUCUCCUCAUUGGCAUACUUAAAACCCUGCUCAGGGAGGAGCUUAUUUGCCACCUUCUAUGCGGAAGCAUGUUCACGACUGCACCUGUGCUGCCUUUACUCCACCUCUACAUACAAUGACUCGGCUAACCAGCCCCACCAAGGCCCUUGUUUUCACCUUCGUUCCAGGAGGUGCUGCUUUGAGGAAUUAUCCCCAGUGUCCUCCUUGUUGCAAGUAAUAAAAUCCUCUUGUUAAGUC
rnacentral:lncRNA from 1 species